CCUANGGGGGGCAGCAGUGGGGAAUCUUGCACAAUGGGGGAAACCCUGAUGCAGCGACGCCGCGUGAGCGAUGAAGCCCUUCGGGGUGUAAAGCUCUUUCGGCAGGAACGAUAAUGACGGUACCUGCAGAAGAAGCUGCGGCUAACUACGUGCCAGCAGCCGCGGUAAUACGUAGGCAGCAAGCGUUGUUCGGAGUUACUGGGCGGAAAGAGUGUGUAGGCGGUUUGCCAAGUUCGGUGUGAAAUCUCCCGGCUUAACUGGGAGGGUGCGCCGAAAACUGGCAGGCUCGAGUGCGGGAGAGGAGAGCGGAAUUCCUGGUGUAGCGGUGAAAUGCGUAGAGAUCAGGAGGAACACCUGCGGUGUAGACGGCUCUCUGGACCGCAACUGACGCUGAGACACGAAAGCGUGGGUAGCAAACAGGAUUAGAUACCCCUNUANUC
rnacentral:rRNA from 1 species